rnacentral:tRNA from 1 species
CAUCAGAUGACUGAAAGCAAGUAAUGGUCUCUUAAACCAGUUUAUGAUACCCUAGCAAGUAUCUUUGAUGA